UUAUUUUUUUUUUAAGUUACAACUUCAAACCCACUGUCAAUAAAUUUUCUGGACAUAAACUAAGUAUAUUGGAUAACUUAAUUUUAGGCAUUUCAAGAUUUUGUUCAUCUACAAUUCUAGAAAAAAUAUUGUACUUGAGGGUGAUUGAAACAUUAUAUUGUCCAGUGUAACUAGUAGCUUUUAUAGUAGGUGAGUUUAUUGGAUCAAUCCAUAUUAUUUUAGUGUAAGUUAUUUAUAAAAUAUACCAAAAUUUUAUAAUCUACCAUAUUUUGUGAAUAUUUGUUAUAAUGUGUCAUUUCCAAUAAUUUCCUUUUUUCAUAGUAUUUUUUUUUUCUACUAGGAUGAGUCAUAGUUUUUUCUAGUUUUCUUACCUAAAUUCAUGUGUUUAUUAGGUACUAUUAUUUGUUAUUUUCUUUUCAUUCCUCACUUAUGUUUGUUUAAUAAUUUGUGGUGGAAUUAAGAUUGCUUUGAGUACAUGAGGGCAAAUUAUUCAAUGCAUAAAAUCUUAAUUUAAAAAUUAUAUCUUAAUUAUUAGUGUCACAAAUUUGUGUUGCCGUGUUAGGUUGUUUUUCAAGUUUUUCAUUCAGAUACUCCAUCACCUACAUAUAUAUAUAGUUAUACCAACAUUUUAGAUAUAUGAUAUCAAAUAUUGACAUAAACGCCAAAGAAUCCUGAAAAUUUUUAAUAUUAAGAAUUCAUAUAUUCAACAACUCGAGUUUAACAAAACCAUGUUUGAAUGCAGAAUUUUCUUUGCUAUGGUUUUCUAUGUUUUUUCUUUUAAUUUUCUAUCUCUUGUUAUCUUGAAGCUGAUCAUCUCCCCUAGUGGACAAUUUGGUAUUUGAAUUGACAUUUUUGUCAUUUCCCUGUUCCCCCACGAAUAAGUUCCCUUCAAAAUUCUCCACAUAUUUUCCUACACAAAUGAACCAAUUAAUUUCUUCUUCGUUAAUUUCAAAUAUAUACCAAAAUGAAAAUAAUGAAAAUAAUGAAAUAAUAGGUGAGAAAUGUUAAUGAAUUAAUUAUCGUCCCUUAAUUGCAUGUAGACAUCCAAACAAUAAUAGGAGAAAAAGAAGGGUAUUUACAACUUAAUAUUCACAUAUACUAAUUAUUUUACAAAACGAAUCCAACGUCCUUUUCUUCAAUUUUCGAUUUCCAUUGAAGAAAGAAAAAAACAAAGAAAAAAAAAACAUUUUAUUAAAAUUAAAAUUUUAUUAUUUUCGUCUGUCUCUGUCUACUCAAAACACCAACAUGGAAUUCUUGGUGUCGUAAUUCAUCUUCUCCAGAUUGGGCUGCACUGCAAAUUGAAUCAUCGGCGGCGGCCCACAAACCAAAGCCAAAGUAUCCUCCGCCGCUGCCGGUAGAUGCUCUCUCGUUAUUUCCUCCGUAAUAAACCCAAUGCUAUAUUCCCACCCUUCUCUAAUACUCUCCUGCACCACGUACCAUACUUUUCAAACGCUCGUUCUUCUUCGCCCACGUGUCCAAUUCCUCCCUCAGCAAAAUAUCAUCCUCCGUCCGAUUCGCAUACACAACAAACAUCUCCGUCUCGUCCUCCGGGUCCUUCAAAAUCGCCUGCACAAUUUGAUAUAUCGGAGUUAUUCCGGUCCCACCUGCCAGCAUUGCAAGCCGCUUCGCGAACCGGGGUUUCCCAUGGACCGUAAAGUUUCCACGUCCGGUGUAUUCGAUGUGGCCCAACGGACCCUUAACCUCCACUGUCGAACCCACUUCCAUGUUGUCCAAGAACUGUGACAUGAUCCCCCCGUUGGGGAACUUGGGGUGCACGUUUUUGAAGUACACCUUGACGACCAAUUCGAAGUAGCCCAUCUGGUCUACGGUGCUAGAGGGCGUAUAGGCUCUCAUGCAAAGCUUGCCGUCCACUUUUGCGCAUAUAAAAAUGUGCUUGCCCACGGGCAGCCCAAGUACCUGAUCCUGACCGCCGGGCAGUUCGAAUCUGAAUACACGCACAUCGUGCGAGAUUUCGGUUUUGGAAAUCAGCUUGCAGGGGAUCUUUUCGUUAGGGGCCAGUGCCGCGCGUCUUGUCACCAUUGGGGCUUCUCGGAUGGGCGCUAAAUGGGAGAAGUUGGAGGCCCCGUGAGUGGAGUUGUUAGGGGAGUUGGAGGAGGAGUCGGAAGCGUAGCCGGUGGUGAUCAACUCUCCUAUUCGGUAAUCCUCGAGCAUUUUCUUCGCUUUGUCCGAGUGAAUGGCGUCGAACUCUUCGGUGCAGUCGGUGCCGGCGUUGAUUAAGAUACUGUCGGAGCGCGCCGGGGUGGUCUUUGAGGAAGCGUGUGCAAUCGUAGACAUGGCCGUGGACAAUGAUCCAGGCGGAUUGAGGGGAGUUGUGUUUUUUGACUUCGGAUAAGGAGUAAGUGUUGGAGGCAGUGUUCAUGAAUGGAGUGGAGAUACUCUUCUUUAGGGUUUGGUUUGAUUCGGUGGAUAUUUCUAGAUGUCUCUCUCUGUCCAUCCAUCCACCGGAUUGGUUGCCGGGAACCGUUGGGUGUUCGAAGAUGAUUCCGAUUUCUCCCUUGUGAGGUUUGCAUACGUUGGUUUUCACGGUGAACCAACAGUUAUUCAUCAUUCCCAUAAGGUUCCAUAUGAGUUUCUCAGGUUGAGUGUUGAGAGUUUCAUCCCAAGCACGUACUGCAAUUUCUUUAGCGCCAAGCAGGUCUAGAACCUCCACCUCUAAGGACCAGAAACACCAGCACCAGUAUUUUCCAUAUUUGUUUGGCUUCUCUGGAUGGUCUAACGUGCACACUUGCCAUGUCUCUCCACCGUCCAUUGUCACCUCCACACGUGUCACCUUCUUUCCGCCACCUACACGUUUUUUCAAAACUAGACACGUUAAAAUAGUUGUGUGUUUUUUUUUUUUUGAACUUUAAUUCUCCGGAUCUACAUCUACCUUUCCUAGAUAACAACCAAGUAAAUAUAAAAAAAGAAAUACAAAAAACGGCGGCGGCUCACCGGAAUAAGAAUAGCCUCUCAAGGUGUAGGGCCUCUGAGUGGUCCAGGAGUUGAUAGGCAGAAUCUCCUCAUGGCAUGGAGUUGUUAUGACUGAGUUGAUGUUCAACUCGUUGAUUAUGUACUCCGGCUUGUACCACCAUGCUGCAUAUUUUAAAUUAAAUUAAACAUUUAAUUAUAAUUAAGGUUGACAUAAAAUUCAAUCAUAUAGUAACUAUUUUAUACCUUCGGCGUUAGCCAGCUCAGCGUCUACAUGGGAUGGCAAGACUCUAUUGUCCUUGAAAUGGUAAUAGUUCUCUGAUUCUUUGGUUGUAACGAUGAUGCGUUUAAGCCACUUGACCAUUCUACCCCGAUGAAUCCCGGUAUUAUCAUCCUCACAGGAAACCCGUGGUCCGGUGCCAACUGCUCUCCGUUUUGCAUAUACGCUAAAAUGAUGUCCCUAGCCGGAUCCAUAGCCAGCUCUUUCUUGAUACUAGUUCCGUACUUGGACCCUCCCCCACCUGGCAGAUCCUCAGCCCCUUCAAAGCACACAUUCAGCGCCCCCUUCUUCCUGCUCAUAAUCCCACACCGUUUCAACACCUCUCGCAGUGGGACCCCCCUCCAUACUGACGUUGAAACUCCCGCCGCUCCCCAGUUGAACCCGAUGCUCUUUUUCACCAUGUUCUGCUCCUUUCGCCGGUUUCCUGCGCACACUAGCGUGGCUGGAAACUCUCGGAACCGGAACUCGUUCACCAGUUGGUCCAUGCUGAACUUAGUGGGCCGUUUGACCAGACCACAGACCUCGAUUGUCCAGUCGCUCCACUUGGCCUUAGGGACUGCUCCGUGGUUACGCACGUAGUGUAGUGGGACUGGGGUUAUGAACCCAUGGUGCAUCAGACGAUUGAGAGGUGGCUCCGAGUUGAAGGGGUGCUUCCCUGUGAGACGGACCAUGGAAGAGUUCCGCUCGAUCCAAUUAUCAGCCGUCCCUUCAUCUCUAGGGUCCACAGUCGACGGUUCCAGUUCACGGUUCCCCUUCUUGAUCAAUUCACGAAGCUCGUUGUUAUCGUUCUCGUCUUCACUACACGAAUCAUCAUCUUCUUCCUCCUGUUCCAUCUUCACGGAGCUCUUGAGAAGGCGAUUGUUAAUGUUGGAAUUGGGGAAGUUGCAUCCACGAACGGGGGAGUCGGACCGGUGGUUGGGACCGGAUUUGAAGGAGCGAACGACGCCAUUAAGCGGUGGCUGGAGAGAGCCAAAUUGGCGGUUGUCGACAGAAGCCGCCAUGGGAGAUUAUUUGUUUAGAAAAGAAAUGAAAUAAUUCUCCUGAUUUUGCCCUCCACCACCUUUGUUGUGAUAUGAUGUUGUAGUUUGAAUUGAAGUUUUGGUGGUGGGAAAAAGUAGGGAGGAGAAGGUGUGAUUAUAUAGGAAAUGUAUGUGAAGAAAAAGCCGAAAGUGAGGGCCCAACCUAUUGGACAGGAAAUUUCGAUGGGCUGGGGGAGCUGUUAGUUCAAAAUGACGCCGUUUCGGGAGUGGGGGGCGUGCCAAUAGGGCGAGCCUGACGAAGUACUUACAAAUCAGAACUAUGAAUCUGUGGUGGGUGUGAGCCCUUGGGUUCAUACCGGUCUCAGCCACACGAUGAAUUCAAACAUUUCUCUUCAAAUCAACAAGAUAUCCUCCACAUCUUUUAUUUCCAUAGCUUUUUCUUCUUACUUAUUUUAAUUGCCUUUCUUCUCCCCCACUUCUUAAUUGCACUAUUAAUUUUCUCAAAAUACACACAAAACAAUAAUAAUAAUAAUAAAUAAAUCUCUGCCCACAACCCUUACUUUCAAUUUUCUUUUAAAUUAUUGUCCUUCAAACUACUAUUAAUAACCAUGGCUCUAUGAUUCAAAUUUCUGUUCAAAUCACUCAUUCUAUUUACUUUAAAUAUAGUUUGUUAAACUUUCAAAAAACAUGUGAUUAUAAAUCUUUCUAAAAUGUGCAUUUAUAAUUUCUUUUGUUUAACUCGAACAUAGCUUAAAUAGUAAGAGAUUCAAAAUCUUCAUAAAAACAAAAGAGAAAAAAAAAUAAAUACUUGAUCUAUAUUUUUGGAGACAAGCUUUUGCUAACUUCUGUGUUUUCUUUAUACAAAAAUUGUGUUCUUAGAGGAGUUAAUUUAAUCUUAGGAGAUUCCAUGCAUGUAUGAGUUUUUAUUUAUUAGUUUUGAAAUUUUGCUUUGACAAAAAUGUACCUGUGUACUAAAUGUUUGAAAAUAAAAAUGUAUUAAAUCAAAUAUGAAGGAGAAAGCAAAUAUUUCCACACAUAAUGAAUAGAAAAAAAGACGAUCUUACCUUACCUUACGCAUGCAAAGACAAACAAGUGUAUGUAUAUAUAUUAUUGAUAGAGAUUUGUUGAAUUAAUUAAAAUUUAACAAUAUAUCUUCUUAUCUUAUAAACUAUAUAUAUAAUUAAUUAAUGUAAAAAUAUCUUCUUCAAAUAGUCACCAAGAUAUUUUUGCUGACAUACCAAAUUAAGACGAUAAUAUUACUUUCUUCCAUUCUUUUUAUAAGACGUCUCACUCUCAAUGAAAAAAAAAGUGUAAAGUUUCUAUAAAAAAGGAAAAAGAGAAAAAAAGCGUAAAGCCAAGCAUUUAAAAAGUGAAAUGAUUCUUUAAAAUACUAAUGAAAUAUUUGUGUUUUUGAAAAUUACUUUUUUGGCCAUUACUAUGUGCCAAAUAGUUUUUCUACCAACAAUAAAAUAAAGGGGCAGUUUUUCGUAACGAAUAUUUUAUAUAAUUGAGCUGUUUUAUAAAUAUUGAUUACUUAGGUAUGUAUAUCUUUGCCAAAAUAUAUUUAAUGGGAUUUUAAGUAUGUAUUCAACUAUCAACCUAGAUUAUUAUUAUUAUUGUUAUUAUUUUACCAUAUAUAAGGUAGGAGUAGAACCUUUGAGUGUGAAAUAAUUGAAUAGAAAAUAAAUAACUAUGAUAUAGAAUAACUUUAAACUAUAUAUAUAUGUGUAUGUAUGUACAUUUGCAUAUAUGUAUGUAUUGAAAUAAAAUCUCUAAUUUGGAGUUGAUAACGAUAUGCAAAAUCCAAACCCGAAAAGGAGAAGGGCUGGUUAUGGACAUUUGGGGAAGUUCAAGUGAGGAGGCAGAAGAAGGACGAGAGGAUGGGAGGAAGAAGUUUUUCAAAAAAUUAGUUAAAUGAGGCCAAUUAAAAAAGAAAAAUAAAAUCUAACGUACUUAGGAUGACUCAAUUAAUAGGAUACACAUCUCUAUCUCCGAUCAUGGGCUCUAAACCCUUAAUUGAUACACAAGAGUUUAGGGUUUAAAUUAAUCUAAAUAUUACUUUAUAGUUUAGAUUGAAUAUGAUCCCUAGUUGAGAAGAUGAUUGAUGUCAACCUAGUUUAAAUUGAAUAUGAUGGAGUGCUAAGUUUGUGCUAACCUAGUUAGGAUGAUUUGAUGUCCUUUGUGACCCAUAACUUCAUCUAAGAAAAGAAAAUUGAACAUGUCUCUAAAUUUAGAGAUAUAAAUAGAUAUUUUUCCUAAAGUUAUAAAUUAUUAAAGCGUUAUUUUUAACUAAUUGAAAAGUUUAAAUACUAAGUUGGGUUGCAUUGAUACCAUACUAAAUUAUCACUCAACCUAACUCAAAAGUAGAAUGUAUUGAUAGGUUACGGUAAAUAUAGAAAUUUUCGAGAAGUAGAAAUGGAAUUCUCUCAUCCCAAAAUGGUUGAAACUAGUUUUAGAAAAUUUCUUUUAAGCAAUGAAUAUUUGAUGUUUUUAAUUAAUAUAUAAUAUGAACAAUUAGGGAUUGAUUCCCAUGAAAAGUUAAAUUUAUUUUCAAAUUUAAAAUGGAAAUAGAGUUUUUGAUGUUAUGGUUGAAACAUAUGUUGGAGUAUUCAACAUGACAAAUGAUUCAUUAACUUGGCAACUAGCUAAAAAUAGAAUCCUCACUUUUACAAUAAUAAUCAUGUAAUAUAAUUAAAAAAAAAGAAAAAUUAACUCAUUCCUCUCUCUUUCUCAUUUUCCCUAAACAUUACAUAAAUGGUAUUGCACUAUUACUUCAAACACUUUUAUUAGAAAAGAAAUGGGAUUUAUAAUUUUAUAGAAUUAAUCAUCCAUUUAGAAUGUCUUUUUAAAUGUUUCAUUUCAACAUGGCCAAAAAAUUGAUUUUGUUAUAAAUAUUAGUAAAAUAGUUAGAUGGUCCAUUAUAUUAUGGGUUAAUUGUCAUGUGUCACUUUCUCUCCAUUUCACUAUAUUGUCAUGUGUCAUUUUCUUCAACAUCUAACACAUUUGUCAUGUAUUGAAGAUAUCAGACCCUUGGAGGCCAUGUAAUUAAUUCGUCUCAUGCUUACCAAAUUGCCUAUAAAUAAUGUCAUUUGGACAUGGAUCUUGUAGGACACACAUGUUGGUAAAAUUUUCAAAUAAAUAGGAGAAAGUUGAAUUUUUUGAAAUUUUUAAAUUUAAUUUAAUUUAAUUUAUUUUAAUAUUAUAUUUUCUUGAUUUUCGUAUUUUCGUUGUGUCUCAUUUUUACGCUGGAGCUCCAAUUGCCUCCUUCGUCCAAGCAUGAGCUCCAACCAUCUUCUAUACUAAAGGUUGGUUGAUUUUUCACCCACUUUAUUAUAAUUAAUAAAAUGAAUGUUAUUUUGCAUAUUGAAUGUAUAUUAAAUUUCUAAUAUAAUUACAAUAUUUUGUAUAUUAUCUUGAAGAUAUUACAAAAUUACAAUUUCUAGUAUUUGAUAUUAAUAGUAAUAAUUAUUUAUCAUGAAUGUUUGAUACAAAAAUACACCUAGAUGUAAUUAAAAAUAUGAUCGUCAGAAAGCAAUUAUUCUUCCUAAAGCUCGUUAUAAAUGAAUACAGUUGAGGCUCCAAAUUUCUAAAUAAAUAUGUUAGAGAAGAAUUUUUCUACGUUUUGGAUAUGCUUCAUGCAAUAGCUUUUGCAUAAUAUCUUCUCAUGAAUGAAAUAACGAGUUAUUGAUUGAAAGACCAUGAAUAUCAAUCAACUACUAUAGAACCAACAUUUGCUAAAGUGAAUGUUGUAAAUUUUAAUAAUGGUGGAUUAAAAAUUAUGAUUCUUAAUCUUAUUAUCUAAAAUGAAUGUUGUGAGUUUAACAAUUUUAAUGGAGGUUAUAACUACAAUAAAUGAAGAAAUAAUUAUUCAUUGCGGCUGAUUGUUAUAAUUAUCCAAAUUUUAAAAGAACCACAUGAAAUGAUGGUCAUAAUAAAUGGAAAGCACCUCGAAAAAAAUAGAAAAAUGUGAAAUGACAUUUUGCAUAUAUGAUUAAUAAUAUAUAUAUUUGACCUAUCCAAUAUGACAAAUUUGGAUACGGUAGAGUUUUGAAUCUCUAGAAAAUUGACAUAUUCGAAAAAACAAGUAUUUCUUUUGUGAUUAUAUAAUAGUUAAUGUUUUUUUAUCUCUCAUAUUAUAUAUAUAUAUAUUCCAAGUUUUGUUUUUUUUUUUUUUCAAGUUUAAAUUAAUUUGUUUAACGAGGAAGCACAAAAAAUUUUCUUAUAUUUAAAUAACUAAAAAUGUUUUGAGUUUUUUAUCUUUUUGAUUAUAUUAUAUUCAUAUAAGAGUAAUUAAAACAUAUACAACUAUUAACCUAGAUUUCAUGAAUCUAGACAUAUUUACAAUUGAAAUAAUCGAUUGGAUCAUCCAGGAUCUAUAAUGAUGAGAAAAAUUAUUGAAAAUUCACAUAUGGACAUCCAUUGAAGAGCCAGAAAAGAUUCUUCAAUCUAAUGAACUAUUAUAUGAUGCUUACUCUCAAAGCAAAUUAAUAAUUAGAACAUUACUAGCUAAAUUGGGAAUUGAAUCAUCUGUAUUUUAAGAAUGAAUUCAUGGUGAUAUAUGUGGAUCUAUUAGCUCACCACGUGGACUAUUUAAGUAUUUCAUGGUAUUAAUAGAUGAAUCUAGUAGAUGGUCACAUGUGUGCUUAUUAUCAAGUUGAAAUCUUGCAUUUGUAAAAUUACUUGCUCAAAUAAUGAAGUUAAAAGCAUUGUUUCCUGAUUAUACAAUUAAGAAAACAUUCAGCUUGAUAAUGUUGGUGAAAUUACAUACCACGAUUUUAAUAAUUAUUGUAUGUCAAUUGAAAUAAAUGUUGAACAUCAUGUAGCUCAAUGGUUUAGUAGGAUCAUUAAUAAAACGUUUGCAAUUACUUUCUUUACCACUACUUAUGAGAUCUAAGCUUCCUACAUCUGUAUGCAGACAUGUUAUUUUGCAUGCUGCAUCAUUUGUGUGUAUUAAGCUAGCAACUUAUCACAAUUACUCACCAUUAGAAUUAGUAUAUGACCAUAAGUCAAAUAUUUCUCAUUUGAGAAUUUUGUGAUGUGCAAUAUAUGUUCCAAUUGCUCUACCACAACGUAUUAAGAUGAGUCCUUAAAAAAGGCUAAGAAAAUAUGUCGAAUUUGAUUUCUCAUCAAUUAUUAAAUAACUUGAACCCUUGGAGAUGAUAUAUUUAUUGUAUGAUUUAUUGAUUGUCAUUUUAACGAGACAAAUUUUUCAACAUAGUGGAGGAAUCCAGAAGUUGAAAAAAAGAAACUACAUAGUUACAUGGAAUAUGUCCUUUUUAUCUCAUUUUAGAUCAUCGUGCAUAAUCAAUGUGAAGUACUUGACGUUCAAAAAAUAAUUUAUUUGCAAAAUAUAACAAAUCACUUAUCCGAUGCAUUUAUAAAUACAAAGAAAGUAAUUAAGUCAUAUAUAGCAACUGCAAAUGUCCCAUAAAAGGUUUGAUAUUCCAGUGCAACAAGCUAUUCUUAAUUAAUGAAUCUGGAGCAUGCCUAGACCAAAUAUAUAUAAGAAUAUGGAUAUAGAUGUUCCAUGAGAAAGGGAGUCCAUAACUCGGUUAUAGAUAUAGAUGUUCCAUAAGAAAUUAAAAAUUGACCAUAGAUAAGAAUAUCAAAGAAGAUAAAACAACUUAGGAUAAGAAUGAGAUUUUUAUAAAUUAUAUCAUGAAAGGAAAAAAAAUGGAAGCAAAGUAAUAUAGUUGUUGACAAUAUUUUUGUAUAUAAUGUUAAUUUUGAUAUUAUAUCUGAAAAUGAGGAUCCAGAAACAAAAUUUGUUGAAGAAUGUUGAUAGAGAAAAAUUGGCUUUCGUGAAAAAAAGUAAUUGAGACAAAAUUAAACUCACUUUCAAAACAUCAAGUUUUUGGACAAGUAUUUAUGAGAAAAAGAAACUAUGAUAAUGAAAUCACAAGAUAUAAAGUAAGACUAGUUACACAAGUUUUUUUUUUUUUUUUAAUAAAAACCUGAUAUUGAUUACGAAGAGAUAUAUUCUCCGGUGGUGAUUGCAAUCACACAUUGAGUUUUUUAAUUGACAUGAUUGUGUGUGUGAAAAAAAUCUAGACAUACAUCUUAUGAAUGUAGAUACAACAUAUUUAUAUGGAUCUCUUGAUAAUGAUAUUUAUAUGAAAGUGUCAAAAGGAUUUAAGAUACCUAAAACGUACAUAUAAAUCAAGUUGUUGGAAAUUAUAUCCAAUAAAGUUACAGAGAUUACCAUAUAGAUUAAAACAAUCAAGAUGGAUGUGGUAUAAUUGUCUGAAUGGAUAUUUGUUGAAAAAAGAUAUCAAAAUAAUCUAAUAUGUUCAAGCUCUCUUUUACAUAUAUAAAAAAAAGCAUAGUCAUGAUUUGCUAUUAUAACUGUAUAUGUUGAUCAUUUAAAUAUAAUUGAAACUCUUGAAGACUUUUCAAAGACAAUAGAAUAUCUUAGGAAAAAUUCGAGAUUAAAGAUCUUGGAAAAACGAAAAUUUUUCUUGGCUUGCAAAUUGAGUAUUUAGCAUUUGUCAUAUUUGUUCAUCAGUCAACUUAUACAAAAAAAAAUUUGAAAAGAUUUUAUAUAGACAAAACAUACAUCCAUUAAACAUACAAAUGUAAAUUUAUUUAAGUAGACAUGAAGAAAAAGAUAUUUCAACCUUGAAGGAUAAUGAAGAACUUCUUGGUCCAAAAGUAUCAUAUCUUAGUGCAAUUGGUGCACUUAUGCAUCUGGAAAAUUAUACAAAACCAUAUAUUGCAUUUUCAAUAAAUUUAUUAACUAGAUACAUUUCCUCUCCAAUAAAAAGACAUUGGAAUAGAAUUAUGGAUAUACCUAGUUAUCUUCGAGGAACAAUUGAUAUAGGUUAUCUAUUCACAUAUGAAGGAUUUGCUAUAUCAUGACGAUCAGUGAAACAUACUAUAAUAACUACCUCCUUAAAUCAUGUUGAAGUUCCCGCAAUGCACAAGGCAGUCGAAAUGUGUAUGGCUAAGAUUAAUGACCUAGCACAUUCGUGGAACAUGUUGUUCAUCUUAUAAUAAAAAUCUUCUAAUGAUACUAUACAAAGACAACAUGUGAUGUAUAGCUCAAAUCAAAUAAAAUUAUAUUAAAGGCGAUAAAACAAAGAAUAUUUUAUGGAAGCUUUUCUACACUUAUGAUCUUGAAGAAAUUGACGACAUCAUAGUACAACAAAUUUUUUCAAAUGAUAACUUGAUAGACUUAUUUACAAAAUCCUUAACUACCACAAUUUUUAAAAAAUUGGUGUGCACAACAUUGAAAUGCAGAGACUCAAAUAUCUCAAGUGAUGUUUCCAUGAUGAGGAGUAAAUUGUAUUUUUGUAAGCUUAUAAAUUAUAUGAAAUAUGUACUUUUUUUUCUUCACUAGAAUUUUUUUCCAUUGGUUUUUUUCUAGUAAGGUUUUAACGAGAUGCAUAUUUCAUAUAUGUAAAUAGGCAUCUAAGAGGGAGUAUUAUAAAUAUUAGUAAAAUAGAUCAUGUCCUAUUAUACUCGGUGUUCAUUGCCAAGUGUAACUCCUUCCACAUUCCACUACAUUGUCAUGUGUCAUUUUCCUUCACAUGCAACACCUUUGACAUGUGUCUUAAAGAUAUCAACUCUUAGUGGUCAUGUAAUCCAUCUUAUGAUUAUCAAAUUGCCUAUAAAUAGUGACAUUUGGUGUGUCAUGUAUGAAAUGCAUAUUUAUGAAAUUUUCAAACAAAUGGGAGAAAGUGAUUUUUUUUUUUAUUUUCUAAUUUCUUAAUUUAAUUUAAUUUAUAUAUUAUAUAUUAUUAUAUUUUAAUAUUAUAUUUUCUUGAUUUCAUUGUUCUCGCUGUCUCAUUUUUACAACAUGUUUAAUCGCCAGAAAUAUAGGGGCAUCUCAAAAUCCACAUCGCUCACUUUUAGUCACCACUCCCACUUGUGAACCUAAAUCUUAUAGAUCUGCCCUUAAGAUUUUCCACUCGUAUAAUGCCAUGAAAGAAGAAAUGGACGUUCUCCACAAAAACCAUACUUGGGAUCUAGUUCCCCGUCCAACAUACACCAAUAUUAUAGAAUCCAAAUGGGUCCUCAAAAUCAAACUUAGAGAUCAAGAUGGCUCAAUAGAUAGAUAUAAAGCUCGUUUAGUUGCUCCAGGAUACUCUCAAAUAGAGGAAAUUGACUAUGGUGAAACAUUUAGUUCUGUUGUCAAACCUCCUACAUCCUCAUUAGGAUAAACUUACCUUUUCAGGGGUAUUUAACAAAUGUCAUAGAUAAGCAUUCUCAAAUAAGUUGUAUAUUAUAGUAUGAUGCAACCAUUAGGUUUCCAAGAUAUUCAUCACCCAAACCAUGUUUGCAAACUUAACAAGUCCCUUUAUGACCUAAAACAUGCUCCUCGUGCUUGGUUUGAUAGACUUUUCAACUAUCUUAUGACAUUAGGAUUUAAUUGUUGCCACUCUGAUCCAUCCUUAUUUAUUCUUCAACACCCCAAUGUCACACUCAUUAUGCUUAUCUACGUUGAUGACAUAAUUAUCACCAGAAAUUACCCUGAAGCAAUACAACAACUCAUUACCACCAUCGGUAAUGAAUUUGCUCUUAAAUACUUAAGGCCUCUACAAUACUUCUUGGGAAUUGAGGUGAUGUCCACUCUUCAUGGUCUUUUCCUAUGUCAAAGCAAAUAUGCAAAAGAAAUCCUCAUUAAAGGACACAUGCUUGACGCUUCCAAAAUCAAUACUCCCAUGACUGUCACCACCUCAGAUCAUCUUUGGACAAUGACCCAAUCGAUGCCCAAGCCUACCGUAGUCUCAUUGGGUCCCUCCAAUACCUCACUUUUAUGCAUCAUAAUCUCUCCCAUGUUGUUCAUCGUGUUUGUCAACAACUUCAAAAUCCAACAAAAAAAGGCCUUUGAGCUGGGAAACGGAUCCUUCGCUACAAUAAAGGGACUAUAAACUAUGGUUUACCUAUUUUUAAGCAAAAGUACAUAUAACCUUUAUGUGUUUUGUGGUGCAGAUUGGGCUGAAUGCACUACAAUCAGGUGUAAUACAACAUGUUUUUGUGUCUAUCUUGGUGCAAAUUACAUUUCAUGGUCUUCGAAAAAGAAAAUCAUUAUAGCUAGAUCAAGCGCUAAAACUAAAUAUCGUGUCAUGGCUAGUGCCACAACUGAACUUACUUAGAUCACUUUCCUCUUUAUAGAUCUUUUUAUACUCCUCAACCAAACACCUCAACUCUUUUGUGACAAACUUGGUGCAUUAUAAAUGAUGGUCAAUCCAGUAUUUCAUGCUCGAACCAAACAUAUCGAGCUCGAUUAUCCCUUUGUUCGAGAAAAAGUGACCAAUGGCUCACUCAUCACUCGCUUUGUCCCUUCUCAUAAACAACUAGGUGACAUAUUCACCAAGCCCUUACCAAAAGCACACUUUAUUGAGUUACGAAACAAACUUAGAGUUCAAGCAAUGCAACACUCCAGUUUGAAGAAGGAUAUAAGAGAUCAGGCAUCUCAAAAUCAAAUUGACACCAAAUAUGAAUUAAUCAAAUUACCUCAAAAUCCGGAUAAUUAGCCUUUGACAUAAAUGUUGUCCAAAUUCACCAUGAUUAUUUUGCCUUACUUGAAUGAAAAAUAUGACCCUUGCUCAGUUCUCCUUUUUGACCUCCACAAAUCCUCCACAAAUUUAUUUUUUCAAUCACAAAUUUAUUCAUUCCAUGUUUGUAGCUUAUUCAAUUUGUGUAUAAAUAUCCAUCAUGUGUUUAUCAAGAAUAUUAGUUUCUCCUUUGAUUGAGGUUUUAGUUUCUUUAGGUAUAAGAUACCUUAUUCUUGUUGUAUGAUCUAGAAUAUGAUGUCAUAUAAUUGUUUUGUGAUAUGGUAUGAGAUGCUCUUUUCUUGAAGUGUGAUUUGGCACUGGAGGACGGAUUAUGCAUGAUGAAAUUGAUGGUGAAUUGCUGAUUGUGUUGAAUUGCUGAUUGUGUUGAGGUUGCUUUGUAUAGCCACAACCUAGCAAAAGAGUGUGAUAAAUGCUUGAGUUGAGAAAAGGGUACAAAGAUGUAAUUGAACACGUACAGCAGUUGUGUGAUGUGACUUAAUGAUGCAUUAUGCGAGAUGUAUGCUUAUGAGAUAUGAGUGGUUAUAAAUGAUUUGAAAAGAAAUGUUUUCCAUUUAUGAUUAAUAAAUAUUUGUUAAUGAAAUUUGGAUUGUGUUGAUCGUGUAACGCGUUGAGAUGAUUUGAUUUGGACUCGAUAUUUUAUUUUUGAAACACAUAACUAUUUAUAUUACAUGAUUUGGCAAAAUGAGUUGUAACACGUUAGGAUAGAAUUUGACUUAGUGUUGGUAAAAGACUCACACUCACUAGACAUUCUUGUCUAACUUUCAAAUGUCUUGAUUUACUCCCCCCCUCUAUGGUAACAGAGGACAACCAACGUUUGACUUGCUAUCUUUAUCGUCUCUUUUGCCAUAUACUCAAUUCACAUCAUCUUUGGUAGUGUCAUUGUGUCAACUCACACAACAUGUGUAGAAGCUAGGUGAGGAGAGUCCAACUAUUGUUUUGAGAUUAUAUAUAUUUUUUGUUAGAAGGAACUUCGUACUUGUGUUAAAUAUAUUCUUUUAACCACUAUGAAUGAAGUAUUUGUGUUAUCAAUUGAGUUCUCAGUUUGUGUUAAGAUUGUGGAUUGUGUUUGUUCCGCUUACUAGGUGUUCUACGUGCUAUUUGCGAAAAGAUUCACGUAGAAUGUGUAGGUGGUCAAGUCUCCACCUGGUCGCAUAGAGUGACUUUUGGAAUGGGGUGGGACAUGUAUAUAGCAAUUAAGAAUUGUAAUUUUUAAUAAUGGCUAAAAUAUAGCAAUUUUAGGAUUUUUAAUGGCUAUAUAUUUGUAAUUUUCAAAAGAUUUCUAUAUAAUUUUGAAUGUAAUGGCUAUAUAUAUAUAUAUGCCACUAUCCCUAAAAAGUUUAUAAAAAAAAUCUAAGUUUGUGAUUAAUCUGAUGAUGAAUAUCUAAGAAAGGAAAAGGAGAUAGAAACUAUUAUCUUCUUCUUGUGUGUCUCUAUAGUGUUGUGUGUUAAACCAAAAACUGAAACCACACAGCAUUUAUGACAAAGAAGAAAAGUAGGUGAAAAUGAUUGACGUUUGGGAAGAGAAUUAUCAAACAAAAUCCUUCAACUGUGACCUUUUUCAAUUUACAACCACAGAAUCUUUGCUAAAAUCCAUUUCAUAAACAUAGAUAUGCAAACUGUAUCCAUCCAUUUGAUACUUACAAAUCAUCUGCCCAUCAAAUUUUAGUUUCACAUCUCAAAUUCCAUACAUAUUCCUUAAUUGAUCUAACACAUAAAAACUUAUAUAUCUUCUGUCAACAACAGCUUAAAGCUAAACCAAUAUUCAAAUUUAGCUUAACUCGACUCAUUACAAGAUUUGAGUUUCAAAUUUCUCUCCCCCAAUCAUUGUACUAAAAAAAGCUUUCAUAUCUGUCAAUAUUUUUAAAACUACAUGAGAUGGUAUAACUUUAAAUUCACAUCUAAUUUAUUUUAAUCACUGAAUCAUGGUUGUAAAACAGCACACAUAGUAGUGGUUAAUCUCCAAAUUAAUUAGUUGGUCCACUAACUUUUAGAGUAUGAUAUUUAAAGACUUCCCAAACUUUGAAUUCAAAAAGUGCAGUCUGUAAUCUAUAUAUAGUGGGAUUAGAAGAUAUAGAAGCGUAUCAAUAAAGUGAACACAAUAAUUAUAUAGAAGGGGAAAAAAAACCUUAAAAAUGCUAUUGAGAUUGCACUUAUUUUUGUCCAUUCAAAAACUAACAACAACAUUUUAACAUUAAAAAAAAAAAAAAAAAGGAAAGUUAAAUAGUUGUAUUUCCCCACUGUGUAAUGAAUGGACGAUUAUAUAUAAAAUAUGUGUAAUCUAAAUUGUACCUACUAAUUUUCCAUAUAUAGAAAUGGAAAUGGAAAAUGGAAAAUGGAAAAUGGAAAAUGGAAAUGCAUGGGUGCCAUGUAGCUACCUCCAUGGAGCAGCAGGUGGUAAAUGUAGUAAAACAAAAAGGGGGAUUAGAGAGAACAUACAAUAGCAUAUAAAUGAAGAAAGAUGAAUAAAAUUAAUGAAAAAAAAGGAUGAUAAGCUAUAGUUUUACGAAAAAGAAAAAGAAUAAAGAAUAAGGACAAAAGAAAAGAAAAUGUUGGAAGAGUCAAAGAGGCAAUAAAAGAGAAGAAGUAGGGUUUUAAUUUUAAUUUGUAUUGAGAGUUGUGAAGCGGCGCAUGGGAAGGGGCAAUAGCCAUACCAAAAUGGUGAGGGUAUGGCUCAUAACCACAAAACCAUACAAACCAAUUAGGGUCCCCAAAAGAGAGAAGUGGCUAAUUGGAAACUCUGAAAGGUUAUAUUUAUCAUUUUUUUUUUUUAGAAACUUGGCUUUUGGGUGAACUCUAAAGUCAUCUUCUUCCUUUCCUCCUUCUUUCUAAUUUCUCUGUCCAUGGUCAGAAAGAAAAAGGCUGUCAAAGUUUUAUUUCUCUUUUUUUCUUUUUUCUUUUUUUUUUUUGUGGGAUCCAUAGAUUUUAAGGGGACCAGAAACUAAUGGAAUUAUAUAUAACAGUUUGUUUUUCUAAAUUGAACCACAAAUUUCACUAUUUAUUAAAAAUAUAUCAAUAUUAAUGUUUGUCUAAUAUCAUCCUCAUAAAUCUGUUCUACAAAUCUUUACCACUAAAUAUACAACUACUACUACUACUACCUCCUUUCUUUUUUUUUUUUUGUUUAUUUGUUUUGGGGAAUAUUAAUUAUGGCUCUAUUUAUUGCAUUUGUUUCUAUCUCUUAUUCAAUACUUCAAUUUAAAUAUGCGUUAAAAUAGACUAAUGAGCAACUUUUUGGAAAAUGUACAAAAUAAAUAAUAGCCUGGCACCUACCUAGCUGGUUGUUAUGUUAUUAGGAAUUUAGGAUAGGGAAGAAUAUUAAUUAAACACGAUUUUAUUUACUUUCAUCUUAGGGUGGUAUCAACCACUUUUCUUGGGGAAUAUUUUACACCUUUUUUUUUCUUUUCUUUUUCUUUAAUAAAAUCUUUACUUGAUCUCACAUAUGUAUGUUUAGUUUCAUUUCAAUUUUGUAAAAGUAACUUUUAUAAAAUCAUUGGAGAUGGAUGUUUCUAAGCAGAUUAUACAAAUAUAUAUAUAUAUAAUAUAUAUAUAUAUAUAACAUCUUAUUUAUAUUAAAAAAUAUUUUUAUUUUUAUUUUUUUAACUAGUUAAAAGGUUUAAUAUUUGGAUUAGGUUUACAUUACUUCUUAUUUUAAUUUUUAUAUUUUAAAAUUUGUUUUAGUGAUUCUCUCGUGAUAAUUUGAAGCCGAGGAAAAUAUCGUUAAAAUCUAUAAAAAUGACUUUUAUUUAUUAUUCGAUUCUAAACUCAAAUCUCAAACAUGAUAAUUUAAUCUUUCGCUGCUUUAAUUAUAAUUUAGAGACAGAGAAUUGAUAUAUUAUAUCAAUGUUAGAUAGAUAAACCAUCAAAUGCAUAUAAAAAAGAUUGUAGAAAAGACAAAAGAGUUUUGAAGACGUUGUUGAUAGAUCCUACUAAAGAAAAUAAUUUACGAUUGAAUAAAGAUGGAUAAGAUUUUACUCGAGAGAAGAGAAAUUUAUAAAUGAAAAGAAAUUACGAUUUUAGUUUUAAUAGGUAUGUUUUAUCUUUAUACUUUCAAAAUGUAAUAUUUUAGUUAUUCUAACAUUUUAAAAUUAGUUAUUUAAAGUAUCAUAUAAUAGGUUAAAAAAAUCAUAAUGAUUUUUUAUUAUUUUAAAUUGAAAUUUUAACUUUUAAAAAAUCAUAUUUCUCUGUGAAAUUCCUUUUAAAAACUUUUGUUCCAAUUUAAAAUCUCAUAUAACUUUAUAAAAAAAAGAAAGAAAAGAAAUACAAUUAAAGUGAUUUUUAAAGCGCCAUAAAAAGAUAUAUUUUAAGAAUUUAGAGACUUAAGAUGCAUAUUCUAAAAAGAAUACAUGAGUUGAAAAAAUGUAUAGUGUUUGAUAAAACAUAAACCAAAUGCAUCAAUUCUUCAAAACUCGGAUGGACUAAAAACGAUAGUUUUAUAUAUGAAUAAAUAUAAUAAGAAGAAGGAUGAAAGAGAAUGGAGAAUCUUAUUUAUAUUCCUUUGAACAUAGGUUCGACGAGAACAUGUUUCCCAAGCAUGCAUGCUCCAUGUGAAUAGAAUAUGUGGUUUGUAUGGUUAGUAAUUAAUAAUUAAUAAGUUGUUUUGAGAUUGAUUUAAAAAUGAUUAACCUAAAGUAAACCCAAUAAUUAAGCAACAAAACAAAACACAGAGAUUAAAGACUACAUAAUAUAAUUAUUAAUAUAUAUAUAUAUAUUCCAUUGACAGAAUCCCCAUGCAUUUGUUUCUUGAUUCCAUUACAUUUGAUUCCUCCUUCAAGGAGAGAAUAAUCAAUGAACCUAAAGAAAUGGACCAGGAAAAAUAGUUGUGAUCGAUCAGAUGCAGCUUUUAAACUCAUAAAAAUCCGACAUUGAUUUUAGUACCAAAAUUAAAACCUUUCAAAUACGAAUCUGUCAAAAUGUAUAAUUUAUAUAUGUAAACCAAUAGAUUUUUUGUUUCUCUUUCAGUUUGUUUUUGCUAAGAACACAAUAUAUAUAUAGUACUAAGGAAAACGAAAGAGACUUGUUGUUGUUUUCUGUCCUGUCAUGCAAUAGCCUUUUCUUAAGUGUUUAUGUCCUCGAAUUCAUAAGUGUUUCUAUCAAUUAGGCCAUCAACAGAUAAUUUUGUGAGUGUGGACUGUAUCCAUUUACAUGUAUUGGGUGAAAACUUGUACUUCCUCAAAACAAAUAGAAAUCAAAAUCUCUAAUACGGAAAAACUCUCUUAUAUAUAAUUCUACAAAUGUUGUUAUUAAUUGCCAAGUAAACUAAUAUAAUGUGUUAUAAAUUUUAUGUUACAUUGUUUUCCCAAAAUUAAAGAAUGUUUGCUAUAAAAAUGGGCAUUUGAAAGCUGUAAAAAAUGCAAAAAUAUGCUUAUAAAUAUAUAGAUUGUGGAGUUUGGGAUUCAAAUUUUCUGACAUUAGAAACACAAAUUACUAAUACUGAAUUAUUUUUCUUAGUGAUGAAUUAAAAUACAUACUGCAUCUUUUGGUUGGAGUUAUUUUUUUUCUUUUUAAAAUGUUGUAUUACAAAAAUGAGAUGAGAGCUAGCAUUAGCGUUUUAUAUUUAUUAGAGUUUCAAAUUUUAAAAUUCUUAUUUUUAAAAAAAAAUAGAGAAGUUUUUUAAAUUAUAAAUUUGACAAAUAGAAACCAUGCUCCUAUUAAUCCGAUUGAUAGUCAAUAAUAGAAGUUUAAGGAUGUCUUCAAAAAAUAAUAAAAUAAAAAAUUAAUUAAUUUAAAUAUUACUGAAAUUUAAGGGAAAAAAAAAAAAAAGAGAAAAUGGUACAAUUUGAAUCUUAAUUAAUAUUAAGGAAAGGAAAAAUACUAAAACUAUUUGGAUUUGGAGUAUUUGUUUGAGUGUUAGGUUUUUGGUUCAAUAUUGGCAUAGAUAAUGCUUUCUUUUCCAAAUAAAGGCCUAACAAAAUAAAUUGCAAAAUAAAACGUUUCAUUUUAACAAAUAUCAAAAUAAAAUUUAAAUUAGAAGAAUGGUAAAAUGGUUUAUAGAGUUAUUAAGUACAAAUUAAUAAUUUACCAAAAUAUCCCAAACUUCAAAUCCUUAACAACUCAGAUUUAUUGUAAUUAAAAAUCCAAUAAUUUAAAAUUCUCUUAAAAUAGUGACUAACCAAUUUGUAAAAAAAUUCAAACCGUAACAUCAAAUCUUAUCUAUAUUCAUGAAUAUAUUAUUAAAAAAGAUCCAUUACAAUAAAAAGAAAUAUAUUUUGUAGGACUUUUUCAAAAAUAGAAAAAAAAAUUAUUUAUCAUAUCUAAAAAACACUAAAAACAAAAUUUAUUACACUUGAUUUUUUAAUUUUGUAUCGUUCAAUUGUAAUUCAUAGAAACUAGGCAACUAAUUUUAACUUAAUCAACAUGUUCACCAUAAAAUAUACUUUAUAUUGUACUAUCUUACAUUGUGUUAAAAAUAGCUACUAGUUAUAGAUCAAGAACACAUACAUUAUAUUGAAAGAAAUAGCUAAGUACACUAUUUUCAGAAGAUGGUGCAUUUGAAAGAAAAAAAGUUUGACUAAGUAAUAUAAAGAAUAAAGGUAGGAUAACAUUUUUUUUUGGAACCCUCAAUUCAAAAGACAAACUCUAAAAAGCUUGAAUAGUGAUAAGCUGCUUGGUGGAGCAAGAAAGAUAACAGAAUAAAAAUUUCUAAAUUGGAACAAAUUUGAAAUUUUAUGGUUUUCGAGUCAGUCCCAACAUAAAUGAAUUGGUAAUAUUGUAGAAGCUUCACAUUUCUUAAUCGUCAUCUUGCUUUCUUCUUCAAAUAUUCACUCACAAUUGAACUUGCACAUAGAUUUUAUACGGCAAUUGAUACUUCUUAAUUUUUGCGUACCACGUGAAGAUGAACUCAUAUCUUGUCUCAAUCCAAAACGUUUCAAUUUUCAACCAAUAAGUUUACACACUCACAUUUAUGUGUAUACCUUUAUUCCUAUUUUUUCUUUCAGUUAGUUGGAUAUCCCAUUCAAUCCAUGAAACUAUAGUCACAACGUCUCUAUCUCAAUCACCUCAUUAAGAUCAUUUGCAAACACAACACGAACUUACCCAUAAAAGAAUUUAUUAAUUCCUCAAUUUAAUAUUUCACCAAGUUUUUUAUUCAAUAUCCCUACACUUUCCACGACUAUCUUCAAGUGCCUUUUGAGCCCAUCAAAUUCUCACUUCAUUGAUUUAUACAGAAAAAAAAUGAAUAGAUAAUAAUUAAUAAAUAUAAUGAAAAUAGUUUGAAUUUUAAAAUUUGAAUUCAAUAAAAUUUAUAGAGAUUUAGUUAUAAAGUAGAUGGUGAUACGUUUAAUCUCUCGAAAUUUUCAAUUCUAAUAUUAAAAAUUGCAUUUGAGGGUGAAAAUGAUUGGAUUUGAACAACCUAAAUACUCUAACAAAAACCCCACUCCUACCAUUAAAGACUUUUUUUUUUCAUAAACAACCAUCCUUGUUGUUGAAUUAAAAAGAAAAAGUACAUAUUGAAUCACACUAUGGUGCUCAAACUAUAAAUUUCAUUAAUUUUUUUUUAGGUUUUAACUGCUAUCACUUAAAAUUGUAUACUAUAUUAUAAGAUAAGACUUAAAUUUUAUAAACUUUUCAUAAAUAUACUUGUGGAAGGAUAUGCUGAAGAAUAUUCCCUCAUUUUGUUUAUUGACCAAAGUUGUGUAUUUAUACAAGGGUAAUUACCCAAAUUAACUAAGCCUACUUUAUUUACAUUAACAUCAUUACCCAAAUUAACUAAGCCUAAUUUAUUUACAUUAAUACCCUCCCUCAAACUCAAGGUGGUAGAGUAGCGAUCAACUUGAGUUUGGUAAGUAAGUGACAAAAUCGAUUAGAUGGCAAGGCUUUGGUGAAGAUAUCCGCAGGUUGUUCAAUAGUAGAAACAGAACGUAAGAGGAGGGUGUUGCUUAAGAGGUGGUGACGAACAAAGUGACAGUCAUUUUCAAUGUGUUUUGUACGUUCAUGAAACACAUCAUUGUGAGCAAUCUGAAUGGCACUACGAUUGUCACAAUGGAGGAGGGUAGGACCCUGUUGAGGGACACCCAUAUCGGCAAGGAGCCACCGAAGCCAUAUAAGUUCAGCUGUAGCAUCAGCCAGAGCACGAUAUUCAGAUUCCGUACUGGAACGAGAUAUAACACUUUGUUUCUUACUACGCCAUGAGAUGAGAGAAUCACCUAAGUAAAAACAGUAUCCUGUAGUGGAUCGUCGAUCAGUAGGAUCCCCCGCCCAAUCAGCAUCAGAAUAUCCCGACAACACAAGGGAAGACUGAGAUGAGAAUUGAAGACCAUGUCCCAAGGUGCCUUUGACAUAGCGAAGUAUGCGUAGAACAGCAGUGAAAUGAAUUGUUCGAGGAGCAGCCAUAAAUUGACUGACAAUAUGAACAGCAUAUGCAAUAUCUGGGCGAGUUACUGUUAGGUAUAUAAGACUGCCAACAAGUUGCCGAUACAAGCUUGCAUCGUCAAGAGGAACACCAUCAAACGGAGUUAGAUGGACAUGAGGAUCUAACGGUGUUGAAGAUGUGGUGGAGUCUGUAAUUCCUGAGCGUGCUAUUAGAUCAGAUGCAUAUUUCGCUUGAGAUAACAGAUAACCAUCUGAACGGUGAGAGACUUCAAGACCGAGAAAGUAAUUGAGAGAUCCAAGGUCUUUCAUCUCAAAAUGUUGACCAAGAUAUUGUUGUAGGUCGGAUAUGGCCUGUUGAUCAUUACCAGUAAUAAUCAUAUCAUCAACAUAAAGAAGGAGAAGAACAAUACCAUGAGUUGUCUGUCGUGUAAAAAGGGCAUUGUCGUGAGAGCUGGAGGUAAAUCCAAGUUGAGUAAUGGUGGAGCUAAACGUGGCAAACCAAGCUCGUGGAGCCUGUUUUAGACCGUAUAGAGCGCGACGAAGGAGACACACCUUGUUGGGAGGAGGAGAAGUUCCCUGAGGUGGCUUCAUAUACACUUCUUCAGAUAGGUUGCCGUUAAGAAAUGCAUUUUUGACAUCCAUCUGAAAAAGAGGCCACUGUUUGGCAGCAGCAACAGCUAACAAGCUGCGAACAGAUGUCAUCCGGGCAACAGGGGCAAAUGUUUCUUCAUAGUCAAUCCCAUAUUCUUGUGAGUAUCCUUUUGCAACAAGCCGAGCUUUAUAACGUUCAAUAGUUCCAUCAGAGUGAGUUUUGAUUUUGUAAAUCCAUUUGCAACCAAUGGGUCUUUUACCGGGAGGUAAAUCAACAUAGUCCCAAGUGUGCGUCUUUUCAAGAGCCUGUAAUUCUUCAUCCAUUGCUUUCUGCCAUACUGGGUUAAUACUGGCCUCUUGAUAAGAGGUGGGUUCAACAAGGGAAACAAUGGUAGAAAAACAAUGGUAAUCAGUGAGAUGAGGGGGAGGUUCUCUUACCCGGGUAGAGCGACGAAGAGGAGUAGCAGGUGGCGAUUCAGGAACAUCAUCGGAGACAGACGGUGGAUCCAGAUUUGCAGUAGCAGGUGAAGAUUGUGCAAGCUCAGUAUCCAAGGUGGGUUCAGAGAGAGGAAAAAGGUCAACAGAUGUGUUUGUAAAGAAAGAUUGAGGACUAGAGAAGGAGGUGUGGAAGGAGGACAAACGAGAGAACAUAGUGUGUUCCCAAAAAGUGACAUGCCGAGAUAUCCGGAGUCGGUUGGAAAGAGGGUCCCAACAACGAAAUCCUUUGUGUUCGGUGCCAUAGCCAAGGAAGCAACAGAGACGGGCACGUGGUUCAAGUUUAUUGUGUUCAUGAGGAUGUAACAGAACGAAGCAGGCACUACCAAAAACUUUGAGUUUAGAAUAGUCGGGAGAAAUACCAUAUAGUUUUUCGAACGGAGAGGUAUUUUGAAGGACAGAGGAAGGGAGACGAUUGAUUGUAUAUACUGAUGUAAGGGCAGCUUCACCCCAGAAUUUUUCUGGACAAGAGGCAGAAAGAAGGAGGGCACGUACUGAGUCAAGAAUGUGACGAUGUUUGCGCUCAGCACGUCCAUUUUGUUGAGAGGUAUGAGGGCAAGAGCGCUGAACAAUAGUGCCCUGUUGGGAAAGAAAAGAAAGAAGGAUGGAAUCUUUAUAUUCCAAAGCAUUAUCAGUGCGAAGAAUUUUGAUGGGAGAGGAAAAUUGAGUGCGAAUCAUGUUAGCAAACUCAAUAUAUGUGCGAGAUAAUUCAGAACGAUGUUUUAGAAAGUAAAUCCAUGUAAAUCGAGAGUAGUCAUCAAUGAAUAAAACAUAGUAGCGAUAACCAUGAACAGUAGUAAUUGGGGCAGGACCCCAAAUAUCAGAAUGCACUAAAUCAAAAGGUUUAUCACAAUUAGAGAUGGAUUGAGAAAAAGAUAAGGCAGGUUGUUUAGCAAGUUUGCAAUUCAAACAAUUAAAAGGAACAAAUUUAGUAAGAUUAGUCAAAUUGUUAACAGAAAUUAAAUGACGAAGUUUUUCAGAGGAAGCAUGACCAAGACGAAGAUGCCACUGAUAUGUGUCAGAAUCAGUGACCGAAGCAGAGAUGGAAGAAGGAGAUGAAAUCCGAAGUGAUGUGAGCUCAAACAAUCUUCCCACUUUGCGACCCGUUCCAAUCGUCUGUCCCGUCUGCGGAUCCUGAACCUGACAACCAUUGGGAGAAAAUGAAACAUUUAAGCCCAGAUCACAUAAUUGACCAACAGACACUAGAUUAAAGGUCAGGUUAGGAACACAGUAAGUAUGGGGAAGAUGUACACUGGGAGUAUCAAUGGUACCAGUAUGAGAGAUGUUCAUACAAUUACCAUCAGCAGCAUAAAUAGGAGGUAAAGAUUUUGUAGGGCUAGAAGUAGACAUAAGAGAAGAGUCAGAGGUCAUAUGAUUACAACAGGCAGAAUCAAGAAGCCAUCGAUUACCUGAUGAAACAGCCAGAGCGGAGGAUGAUGAAAUUAGUUGAUUCAAU
rnacentral:lncRNA from 1 species